rnacentral:rRNA from 1 species
AGGAUGAACGCUAGCGGCAGGCCUAAUACAUGCAAGUCGAACGAGAUCAGAGGCUUCGGUUUCUGGUUUAGUGGCGCACGGGUGCGUAACGCGUAUGCAACCUACCUUUUCCUGGGGGAUAGCCCGUCGAAAGACGGAUUAAUACCGCAUAACACCAUUUGAGGGCAUCCGAAGAUGGUCAAAGCUUUCGGGCGGGAGAAGAUGGGCAUGCGUGCCAUUAGCUAGUUGGCGGGGUAAAGGCCCACCAAGGCGACGAUGGCUAGGGGUUCUGAGAGGAUCGGUCCCCCACACUGGUACUGAGACACGGACCAGACUCCUACGGGAGGCAGCAGUAGGGAAUAGUUGGGACAAGUGGG